rnacentral:rRNA from 1 species
GAUGGUACCUGAGGAAUAAGCCACGGCUAACUCUGUGCCAGCAGCCGCGGUAAGACAGCGGUGGCGAGCGUUGUUCGGAAUUACUGGGCCUAAGGGGCGUGUAGGCGGUGAGGUAACUCUGAGGUGGAAUCCUAUAGCUUAACUAUAGAACUGCCUAGGAUACUGUUUCACUUGAGUCAGUGAGGGGAGGGCGGAAUUCCCGGUGUAGCGGUGAAAUGCGUAGAUAUCGGGAGGAAGGCCGGUGGCGAAGGCGGCCCUCCGGCGCUGAACUGACGCUGAGGCGCGAAAGCGUGGGUAGCAAACAGAAUUAGAUACCCUGGUAGUCCACGCCCUAAACGGUGGGCAUUAGGUGUAGGGCUCGUAAGGGUUCUGUGCCGAAGGGAAACCAUUCAAUGCCCCGCCUGGGGAGUACGGCCGCAAGGUUGAAACUCAAAAGAAUUGACGGGGGCCCGCACAAGCGGUGGAGCAUGUGGUUUCAUUCGACGCUACUCGAAGAACCUUACCUGGGCUUGACAUGUUA